UACGAAGGGGACUAGCGUUGUUCGGAAUCACUGGGCGUAAAGCGCACGUAGGCGGAUGUGUCAGUCAGGGGUGAAAUCCCGGGGCUCAACCUCGGAACUGCCUUUGAUACAGCACGUCUCGAGUCCGGAAGAGGUGGGUGGAAUUCCUAGUGUAGAGGUGAAAUCCGUAGAUAUUAGGAAGAACACCGGUGGCGAAGGCGGCCCACUGGUCCGGUACUGACGCUGAGGCGCGAAAGCGUGGGGAGCAAACAGG
rnacentral:rRNA from 1 species